GAAGAUGCCAGCUGCCCUCAGGGCUCUGCUUCCUGGCUCCAGUCAGCCCACUCCAUGUUUCUACCCCCGGGCAAGUGAUUUUUUUCAAGUAUUUUUGAGAACCUGCAUCUGCCACCAGCCUGGAAGGAGCCUGAUCCUUUUGAGAUGCACUGCCACUGGAGCAAGCUGUAAUUGAACCAUCUGGGACCAAUAAAGGCUUGAAUGGUACUAGAAGAACAGAGGACUUUGGAACAACCAAUUAGGAGACUGACAUCAGAGAAUUCAUACCAGCUUUUACCUGAAGCCUACCACAUGCUAGUAGAGAACCUUAGGAGCUUCACCAGUGUUGUAUAAGCACAGAUCAGGAAAGGUCCUGGAGUGACAGUCCUGGAGAACAAAGCCCAGCUGCAGCAAGCCCAAAGAUAAACGUGUCACACAGCCCUGCCAUCGUCGUCCUCCUGCAGUCCUGAUACCUUCUGUCUCCUGAAGCUUAGCUGGAGAUUCUUCCCAAAGACAAUCUAAGAACACCCCUGCUCCUCUUCUCUGUCCAUUGAAGGAACAAAGGAAGCAGCCAGUAAGACUACUGAGAGCAUGUGAUGGCAGCUGUUCUUGGUAAGGAUACAGCACUUCCUGUUCUCAACAUUAUUGAGUUUGUCUUGGGGAAAAUCAGACAAACAGAAUAAAUCAAAAGCUACCAUACACACUCCAGUACAUUCAUCACAGCAGAGAUUGUUAUGGACCGCAGUAUCAAAACCGUUAAAGCCGCCAAAGAGAUUAAUACUCGAUGUCUAUUAGAGCAGGGCAAAUGACAGAUAAAUAAUGUAUUUAAUGAGUAUCACCUGGUUUUCAUUUGUGAAUGAUCCAGGUACAGAUAAUAUUUUCAAUGCUGUUAUUCAAACGUAUGUGUUGAAUAUUUUCAGUGACUAAUUCUUGGUCACUGGCUUGUUAACAAGCAGUUUGUUACAAGUAUUUGAAAUGAAAUCCUGUCUUCAACUAAAUCAAUGGCAAAACAUCCACUGACUUCAGAGGGGCCAGGAUUUUAUCUUUGAUGUUCUAAAUUCAACCUGUUUUGAUCGGACAUAAGUCAUAUUGUGUGUUUCUGCUCCCUUGGUUGGAGGAGUGUGACAGUUAGAAUCAUGUUUCUGAUACAAACACUUGCAAUUAAAAAUUUAAAAUUCAAUAAUA